CCAGAGAACUUAGCAGAGAUGCUUUGGUGCCUUCGGGAACUCUGAGACAGGUGCUGCAUGGCUGUCGUCAGCUCGUGUUGUGAAAUGUUGGGUUAAGUCCCGCAACGAGCGCAACCCUUAUCCUUUGUUGCCAGCGGUUCGGCUGGGAACUCAAAGGAGACUGCCGGUGAUAAACCGGAGGAAGGUGGGGAUGACGUCAAGUCAUCAUGGCCCUUACGGCCAGGGCUACACACGUGCUACAAUGGCGCAUACAAAGAGAAGCGACCUCGCGAGAGCAAGCGGACCUCAUAAAGUGCGUCGUAGUCCGGAUUGGAGUCUGCAACUCGACUCCAUGAAGUCGGAAUCGCUAGUAAUCGUAGAUCAGAAUGCUACGGUGAAUACGUUCCCGGGCCUUGUACACACCGCCCGUCACACCAUGGGAGUGGGUUGCAAAAGAAGUAGGUAGCUUAACCUUCGGGAGGGCGCUUACCACUUUGUGAUUCAUGACUGGGGUGAAGUCGUAACAAGGUAGGCGUAGCGAG
rnacentral:rRNA from 1 species